GAUGAACGCUGGCGGCGUGCCUAAUACAUGCAAGUCGAGCGAACAGACGAGGAGCUUGCUCCUCUGACGUUAGCGGCGGACGGGUGAGUAACACGUGGAUAACCUACCUAUAAGACUGGGAUAACUUCGGGAAACCGGAGCUAAUACCGGAUAAUAUAUUGAACCGCAUGGUUCAAUAGUGAAAGACGGUUUUGCUGUCACUUAUAGAUGGAUCCGCGCCGCAUUAGCUAGUUGGUAGGGUAACGGCUUACCAAGGCAACGAUGCGUAGCCGACCUGAGAGGUGGAUCGGCCACACUGGACCUGAGACACGGUCCAGACCCCUACGGGAGGCAGCAGUAGGGAAUCUUCCGCAAUGGGCGAAAGCCUGACGGAGCAACGCCGCGUGAGUGAUGAAGGUCUUCGGAUCGUAAAACUCUGUUAUUAGGGAAGAACAAAUUUGUAAGUAACUAUGCACGUUUUGACGGUACAUCAUCAGAAAGCCCCGGCUAACUACGG
rnacentral:rRNA from 1 species